UAUGAAGGAAAUUUAUGUGAACGGAAAACAUUUGGACAUCAUGGUGGCCAGAGAGCAACGAAGCGUGUCUCCGGGCUGUCAGGAAUUCGAUGCUCCAGAUCCGUGUAAAGAUCAUCGCUGUGAAAAGGGCAAGUGCUCACCUAAAGAUUCGUACACCUACCAAUGCAAGUGUCACCGUGGCUGGAGUGGACAAUUCUGUAAUCAAGCCCCCACCUGCCAGAAGGAGCAGACUCGAGCCUUCUAUGUGGAGAAUGGUUGUCGGUCGAAGAAGAAGAUAAAACGGGUCCGUUGUGUGGGGUCCUGUGGGAAUGACUGCUGUAGACCCAAGAGGAUCAAGAAGCGACGCGUACGAAUGAUAUGUCCUGAUCACAAGAUGUACAGGACUGAUGUCGAAAUUAUCAGAAAGUGCAAAUGUUCGAGAAAGUGUUAAAAUGGAAAAGCUUUUUUCUUUUUAUGUUCGUUGUAAUGUACUGGUUUCAGACAUUGUGUUCUUUGUCUGCCAACAGAGGGCGACCUGGUUCUACUGUUGGUACUGUGUCUAUUACGGAAGCGCCUUAAAUGACGUCAAAGAAUGAAGAGGCGACAACUACUUACCCUUCCCCUGUGUUAAUUUCUCAUUCCAGGCCAUUCGAUCGCCAAGUUAAAUCUCUAUUCAUUAUAUAUAUGUAUGUGCAUGUAAGUGUUUUCGAACUAAAGGCAUUUUCCUCCUCUAUUUUUUUCUUGCCAGCAAUUGCGAUAUUUCUCAUAUAGCCCUCAAUUUAAAACCAAAUAAUAUCCAGAGAAAUCUAAGUUAUUCCUUUUGAAAAAAAAAAAAAGUUGCUUUUUAAAAAUAACUGAAGUUCGUUCUGCACAUUUUUCGUUACAACCCUUAGAAUCAGAUAAAAUUUCUGUUGUGAAUGGUAGCGUGUAAAAACUUAGUUUUAAGUUGUUCAGUUUCCCACAAAUUCUUGCUUUUGUUCAUGUAUAGACACACACGAACCUACAGGUUGUAACUAAGGUGUAAACCUCUCUGGACUAGAGAUCGAACAUUGAUGGUUCUAUGUUGUAAUAUAUAUAUAUAUAUCUGAAACGUACAAAUGUCCGAUUGUACAGCUCUUCUUUCCCCCUGUUUGAGGACCCCUUUGAUAAUCUUUACAAAACGUAUCUUCUUGCUGCAACGUUUCUUUGAGGUCAGCUUUAGCGUGGGUUUUAUAAUCCAUUUUGCUAUACAGAUGCGAAAAACGAAAACAUAACAAUAUAAGUUCUGAAGUAACAGUUUCUAAGGUACCUAGUGCACUUCAACCGACCAUAGUAACAGUAGGAUGGAGCUGGUGGCGUUUUCAGUUAUCUUAUUUAUAAUACGUGAAACCACCAAAGGUAAUUUAAAUGUACCAAUUUUUUCGAUUAGGAAAAGCCAAGUCAGUGUAAACAGUUAUUAUACGUGGCGAAUUAAGACAUCUUCUAUUUUGUUGUAGUAUCAAAAUUUCAAUAUUACCAACUAUUGCAGUAAAUAUGUAAACGUCCAUAUAUGUAUGUAUCGGUCACGUAUAACAUCAAAACUUUAAAAAAAAAAUACUUUUCAUCUAGAAAAUAGUUUCAUCGGUAUUGUUGGUAAAACGCCUCUUUCUUGUAACAAAAACAAUUCUGUAAACAAAUUAACAUGUUUUAAACCUUCUUUAAUUGGCAACUUAAUUGGACUAUAUUUAACAUCCAAAUUUAACCGUUUUACUUAGUUUAAAAGUUUCCCCCUAGAGUUGUGUGAAAAUAAGAUGUUGGUUUACACAAGCUGUAACAAAUGUGAUUGGUGUACGUAGGGGAAGAUUGUAGGUAUACAUUGUUGUGUUUCGUUGGUUCUGGUUUCACUUUGAUUUUUACUUAUUUAUGUUGUGAUUUAUUCGUUUUAAUAUAUUCUCGUUUCAUCCACUGAUUUUAAACUCAACAAAAUAGAACAUUAAACACAUUUCCUAAGUUAUUUUUUAUUUCAUCCAAUCAGUAUGUUUACUUGAACUUCAACAUCCAGCUUGCAAUCUGAAAUAAGGGCAGUAAAUUUUAACUGCUGUAUAUAUGAGAGACCUCUAGUGUUUACCUACAGAGUUUACCUUUCACUUGAAAAACAAAAGGCAUUGUUCUUCUCUUGUAUCAUAGUAUUUUGAAAGUACCGCGUGCCCGUUCUUUUUAUUACUACUGGAGUAAUUGAGGAACAAAAUUAGGCCAGUUCAUCGCAAGUCUACGACUCUUAUGUAUUACAGCAUGUAUUUAACUUAACUUGUAAUCGAGGUCCUUUUUUAUAGAUUGUUUUAAGCUUAAAAAAUGCUGUUAUUCACACAAAAAAGAGCUAUUUAAAGCUCGAAAAAUUGCUAUAACAUUAUAUAUACAUAUUGGUGUUUAAAAAUGUAAAAAUUAUCAAACAACCAGUAUUCAAAAAAUAACUUCGGUUGAAUGCAAACUAUUCUAGCAUUUGUGAAAGAAAAAACAAAGGUUUGCUUUACAUUUCUAAUUUAUCUGUGUUUUUAAGUUGUUUUAUAUAUUUUUAACUCGUAAUAUCAUUUAGACCUAUGACCGUUAUCAGUUUGAUAAAGAUGUGAUCGUACUGGUCUUGAAAAUUUACGUCAGUAAGUUAUGUAAAAUAAUUUCCAUUAUAAUCUACUAACACAGAGAUUGGUUCAAUUUAUUCAAAAAAUGAAAAUAAACACUUUGGAUGAUCACUGCAUUUGAAGAACAACAACUUCGUCUCAUGAAAAAGGGCACUCAAAAUCUUACUCCCACUAGUAAAUCACUUUAUUACGAUGCUAAAAACGUAAAGGCUGAAAUAUUUAAUAACAAAACGACAACCGAACCAGAAAAGCCUGUUUGAAUGAAUGCCGGUUAUGUAGUUGAUAAUAUUUUCUAUUGGUAGUAAAAAUGUUAUUUUGUUUGUCGUACACUCACAGCUGUAACGCAUUUUAUUUAGCUAAAACAGUACUUAAAGUAUCGAGCUCCUUAAGAAAUAUAUUGUGGCCACUAAGCACUUAUUACAAUGCUUUUAGUGCAUAUUGCGUUUUAUUGUUGAAGAAUGUACAAUGUACAUUAUCAUGGUAAAAAUACAAGAUCUUGCCGAAUUGUUUCUCGGUGUUAUUGUUGUUAUAACAAACAAUUACGCUUUUUGAAAUAAAUCCGUGUUUGUGUGUGUUUUCACAUUUUCCUAACCAAUGGCUACUUUAUAUGUCUAUUAUUACUCACGUAGACCUUUUUCUUUAUAAAAUCUUAUGAAAUUGCCUAAAAUUUAUUAUGUGAAAUUAUAUUACUAUGUUUAAAAUAUGAAAAGUUUAAACCAUUUUUGUAGUUUGAAUUAAAUUUUAGCCUAAAAGCUGUACAGAUAUUUACUUAAGUAAAUAACAUCGCGGAAACUUGUGUAAAUUUAGGCUUCGCGUUAUGGAUAAGAUGAUUAUUUAAAAAUGACCCAGGCACAACUGGUCAUAAAAUCUAUUGGGUUGCUACGUAUAUUUAACCUUUUUCUUUUCCCUUUUGAUAAUUUACACAAACGUUUGAGGCCUAAUACAUAAUAACGUCAUAGAAUGUACGCAUCUGAUGUAUAAAUUCUGCACUUUUCAGUGCAUUUUGUUUAGUUUUUUAAAUAUCAUAAGUGUAAAAAUCCGGGCUCAUGUUACUUGGUAGUGCAUGCUUCUAAGGAGGUCAACAUAUAUUUUACUCCUCGCUGUAAGUGAUGUAACUAUGUUGAUGAUGUAAAUUUAUCAAUUUAGUGAAUAAAUGUAUUGAGUUUGAUUCUUCUUUA
rnacentral:lncRNA from 1 species